UGCCAGCUGCAGGUUGGUCUGAUCUCUCUCCUCCACCUCUUGGCUCUUCUGGUCGUAGUUGACGGCGAGCUCCUCCAGCGCCUGCAGCACCUCCUUCACCUCCUCCUUGGCCAGCUGGUUCUCCGUUUGCAGCCGGCACAGCUCCUCCUGGGAGGGACGUGGGGUCAGAUCUAUUCUUGUCUUCCAGCUGUUUGUACAGGUUGCUGAUGUCCUCCUCGUAUUUGCUCCGCUCGUGGCAACAAUAUUAUUUGACUUUUCUUUCACAAAGGGACGCAGCUCGGUGAAGGACCGUCUCCCCCCUGGUCAACAGAAGAGAGAGAGAGA